rnacentral:rRNA from 1 species
GACGUAGGGUCCGAGCGUUGUCCGGAAUUAUUGGGCGUAAAGAGCUCGUAGGCGGUCUGUUGCGUCCGCUGUGAAAACUCGGGCUUAACCCCGAGCCUGCAGUGGAUACGGGCAGACUAGAGGUAGGUAGGGGAGAAUGGAAUUCCCGGUGUAGCGGUGAAAUGCGCAGAUAUCGGGAGGAACACCGGUGGCGAAGGCGGUUCUCUGGGCCUUACCUGACGCUGAGGAGCGAAAGCGUGGGGAGCGAACAGG